AGGUAGAGWGGCCGAGUGUUUAGGAGGCAGGCUGUAGYCCUGUUAACACGGGUUCUAGUCCUGUCUCUAUC
rnacentral:tRNA from 1 species